GUCUACAUCAACCAAUUCUCUGCCCUCUCCUUCUCAGUAUCCUCCCACCACCCCGGCUCACCCCACGGUACUCUUUUUCCUUUGUCUCUCUGGCUUCUUUGUCAGUGAGGUGUGCUUCUUGCUCGCUGUAAUACUAAGGCUUUCAAAAGGCUGGUGGCGGUAUCGCUCCGGCUAGUCCUUAGGAGCUGCCUAUGGUUCCACAAAGAUCACUUGUUGACGCCAGGUGAGACAGAGGGAGCGACAGAGACGGGGGAGAAAACGUCCAGAAUGUGCAGACAGAAGAGAUGCUCAGACCUCCCUUUCCCCAGCCACUGCCUCUAGCUCUUCCACGGGGAUACAGAGGUAUUCCCAAGCAAGCCAAGAAACAUAACCUCUCCAGCGUGUCGUGGGUCUGCCCUGGGGUCUCCUCCCGGUUGGACAUGUUGAAACGCCUCACCUGUGAGGUGUACAGGAAGCAUCCUGGUCAAAUGCCAGUAACUUCAGCUGCGGAAGCUCUACGCUGAGUACGUCCUGAAUGACUGAGGCUAUCACCACCGUUUGGAAAUAACCUUUUUCAGCGUCUUUUACCCAAAACCUUAUUGUUUCGGUCACCACUCAAAGUUCAUGACCGUAGGUGAGGAAGGAUGUGGGUUGUUUCACUUUACAGCAGUGAAAAACAGGUUUUGUUAGGUGAUGACUGGACACAGAGUUCUGUAACACGAUAAAUUAGUGAUAUCAAAAUUAAGUGAAUACAGCAAAUUGCUCGGGAGGAAAAUAUUGUUGCUGGCUCUUUAAUCUCUAGUUGUACCAUAAAAACAUUAUUUUUGAUUAAAAUGGUCCUAAUCUUAAACACCCAACAUUCAAACAUUAAUAAACACACACAUUUUAAGAAGUCUGAUUUUGAUGUUUGGUGCUUUUUACAACUUUUCCUGGUAAUGUACAACCGCCCUCCAACGUUGUCCCUUUGCUUUCCAGUGACUUAGCUGCUCCUGUCAUGAAACGGUACUGCACCAGCAUGUUGUGGAAACUAUUUGUGUGAAGUCAGUGUUAAAAUUUUUGCCACCUGCUUUUUGCCUUUGAGGCUUUUGCCAUUAAAAUACUGCACAGCCUGCUGAAAAUCAGUGUCAUCAAAUACCCUCAUGGACCUUACUACAAGUUGUUCAUAGGCAGAAAAAAAUAGUGUCAAAUGCAUCAGCAGUGACCUCCGUGAACCCAAAGCAAGUACCUCCCAUUGUCUGCCCUGGCUUGUUUGUGAAGCUGUGCUAUUAUGUAUUUCAUCAGGCUCAUGUGCAAUUAACCCUCACAGUGGCAACAGAAGUGGUGACCUGACUAAACCACUGCUGCAUAAUCUGUAAUAGUGUGCUUAUGUCUUCAUUUCAGAAAGCCCUGAUUUUCAGGUUCAUCCUUAUAUAAAGUGAAGGGUCUUCCAAAUAUGUUUAAGGCUGUUUACACAAAAUACCCAGGCUGUAUAUAGCAUGUGAUGUAGUAAUUCUGCAUCAUUGCCUCUGUAUGAACCUACAGUGAUAAUCAGCAAACACAAGUGUGACGAGUUGCUUAAAUGAAAAUGUGACAUGUAAGCAGCUCAUGUGAAGUUUCUCUUUUGUGAUUUUUCUCUCUCAAAGUAGAAACAGUCUCCAAGCAGCGCGCCUUUCUUGUUAAACAGUCAAGGCCGUGUUCUUUAAUUGAUUCCAGUGUUCAAGCAGUCUAAAUUUGAAUUGAGAAUUGUGUUUAAAACUAAUCCAAUUAUCACAACAUCAGAAGAAAAAAAAAAAAGUGGGGGGAAAGUAGGCUGUUAGCUCCAUCAGUGGAGCUUGAUAAUUGGUAUUUUAAUCUUUGCAGCAGGAAUAAGCUGUGAUUAAGGCAUUAAAGUGCUCUUCUUGUACAUGGUUAAAAAAAAAAAAUCUGCAUUUUUAUUUUUUAUCUUACCGGAGUCUCAAAUGGAAUAAAAGAUUUUUUAUAUCCAUGAUAACCUUUGUGAUGUGGACGA